AGACCCGAAACCCGGUGAUCUAGCCAUGGGCAGGUUGAAGGUUGGGUAACACUAACUGGAGGACCGAACCGACUAAUGUUGAAAAAUUAGCGGAUGACCUGUGGCUGGGGGUGAAAGGCCAAUCAAACCGGGAGAUAGCUGGUUCUCCCCGAAAGCUAUUUAGGUAGCGCCUCGUGAAUUCAUCUCCGGGGGUAGAGCACUGUUUCGGCUAGGGGGCCAUCCCGGCUUACCAACCCGAUGCAAACUGCGAAUACCGGAGAAUGUUAUCACGGGAGACACACGGCGGGUGCUAACGUCCGUCGUGAAGAGGGAAACAACCCAGACCGCCAGCUAAGGUCCCAAAGUCAUGGUUAAGUGGGAAACGAUGUGGGAAGGCCCAGACAGCCAGGAUGUUGGCUUAGAAGCAGCCAUCAUUUAAAGAAAGCGUAAUAGCUCACUGGUCGAGUCGGCCUGCGCGGAAGAUGUAACGGGGCUAAACCAUGCACCGAAGCUGCGGCAGCGACGUUUAUGCGU
rnacentral:rRNA from 1 species